GGCCGUCACUGACGCUGAGGAGCGAAAGCGUGGGGAGCGAACAGGAUUAGAUACCCUGGUAGUCCACGCCGUAAACGGUGGAUGCUGGAUGUGGGGCCCGUUCCACGGGUUCCGUGUCGGAGCUAACGCGUUAAGCAUCCCGCCUGGGGAGUACGGCCGCAAGGCUAAAACUCAAAGAAAUUGACGGGGGCCCGCACAAGCGGCGGAGCAUGCGGAUUAAUUCGAUGCAACGCGAAGAACCUUACCUGGGCUUGACAUGUUCCCGACAGCCGUAGAGAUAUGGCCUCCCUUCGGGGCGGGUUCACAGGUGGUGCAUGGUCGUCGUCAGCUCGUGUCGUGAGAUGUUGGGUUAAGUCCCGCAACGAGCGCAACCCUCGCCCUGUGUUGCCAGCACGUCGUGGUGGGAACUCACGGGGGACCGCCGGGGUCAACUCGGAGGAAGGUGGGGAUGACGUCAGAUCAUCAUGCCCCUUACGUCCAGGGCUUCACGCAUGCUACAAUGGCCGGUACAACGGGAUGCGACACGGCGACGUGGAGCGGAUCCCUGAAAACCGGUCUCAGUUCGGAUUGGAGUCUGCAACCCGACUCCAUGAAGGCGGAGUCGCUAGUAAUCGCGGAUCAGCAACGCCGCGGUGAAUGCGUUCCCGGGCCUUGUACACACCGCCCGUCAAGUCAUGAAAGUGGGUAGCACCCGAAGCCGGUGGCCUAACCCUUUGUGGAUGGAGCCGUCUAAGGUGAGACUCGUGAUUGGGACUAAGUCGUAACAAGGUAGCCGUACCGGAAGGUGCGGCUGGAUCACCUCCUUUCUACGGAG
rnacentral:rRNA from 1 species